GAAACAGAAACAAUAGAAGGAAGCAAAAUAAUUUGAGAGAUAUUUCCAGUGACACAUUCCUCCUGAUGGAAAAAGUAAUUCACCAAGCAAGUGAACAACUUGUGCCACAUUCUGGGUUCUGUCUCCAAUUUGUUUUGACAGCUCACAGUCCCUCGGUGUUAAACUCUGCUGAGCGGGGAAGGAAAACAUCGGGGGCAGAGGGUUAGAGCGCCAUUUCCGGACUUCCCCUCCUGAUGAUGCUCCAUCAUGCAAAUCCUUUCCAUUCAAAAAAAGGAGCCUUGACUUUUCUCACCACCACCCACACUCUGAGAAACGCUCAUCGGUUCUGACAGGCCAAGAGUCGAGCAGGGGAGAAAAUCCGAGCAGCAGUUUGUCUCUGACCAAAGGAGAGGUGACACGGGUCCAGAACCUGCCACCGUUUGACCCGGGAAAGCAGAAGCGGGACUUGGCAGCAGCAGUCUAAGCUAAGAUGCCCAGACGUCGUUCUUCCUGGAAACCUCCUCUGGGGCGACCCUAAGGCGUUCCAGGCCAGUCGAGAGACAUCCUUUUAGAUGUGGAGGUGCAGCAGCAAGACUUCGAAGUCUCUCCGGCGAUGAAACAUGCGGCAUCAACGUGCAUGUCACUGCGUUCCCCGCGGGCUCGGGAACAAAUGAGGAGGGAGGAGUGAUGCGGGUGAUGAGGCACGCCGGGAUGUCAACAGAUGACAAGGAGGGCAGAUGGGGGAGUGGAGGAGAGAAAAGGGGGAGCGAUAACCCGAUGAAAAGAGAUAGAAGAAUUCCCUGGAAACUUGGAACUUGAAAAGAAAUGAUUAAUGAGGCCAGAUGUUAAGCUUGUUUGAGAUGAAUCGUCCCAUUCCACAUGACAAAGCAAAAAAGGCAGGGGAAAAAAAGCCCCCCACCCCACCCGCCCUGGCACAUCAGAGCAGCAGAAGACUGAUACACCAGACCAAAGAGUUUAUCAUUUAAUCCUCUCCUGGAUCAGGCCACUUCCGUUUUACCUGAUCGGGGCAGGAGCCGGAAAUGUUUUCAGAUUUUGUUGUUGCUCGACUGCAAUGACUUCCGCUGGGGUGGUGGUGGUGGUGGUGGUGGUGGGGGGGGGGUAGUUUUUAAUCAGACGGGACCGUUUUAAGCGUCCUUGAUAAUUACUGCAUUUAACAUGAAACUUGUUUGUAAAUUGUAAAACAAAACAGACAAACAUUUUGCCAUGUCCCAUGUCCAUCAACCAGAAUAUUCUCUCUCUCUCUCUCUCUCUCUCUAUAUAUAUAUAUAUAUGUAUAUAUUAUACAUAUACUGUCGUUUAUCAAACAAGUUAAGGUUAAGGUUAAGUGCAACAUGUGGCGUGUAAAAUAAUCAUAUAUUAAUCUUGUUAUUUUUCAAGUUUAAAUUGUUCCUCAUAAAAAACACACUGUGCGAUGAGUUGUCAUGGUAACGGCAUCAGAGCCUGCAGCAACCGGCUAUGCCGUGCCAGCGUCGGGGGGGUCCUGGCUGCCGCUUCGGCGGGGGUCUUGGUGUGGGGACGGUCGGGCACUCUCCCUCCUUUUACAUUCCAUCAUCCACCUCAGUAGAACAUAAACACCCACCUGUCAGCUCAGCUUUGCACUAAUAGUAUGUGUGACGGAAUGAAAUGCUUUACAUGCGUUGGUUUGUAUGCAUGCAGCGGAGGGAAGAACUAUUUAACCCUCUUCAAGAUUUCUUAUUUCUUUCCAUGUUUUCCACUCUUAAAUGUGUCAUAUCAUCAAACACAUUAAAACAAGAGUCAAAGACAUCAAAAAGUAACCAAACAAUGCAGUUUUCAAAUUUUUUUUUUUAUAUAAUUAAGGGAGAAAAGAAAUGAAACCUUUAUUCAAGUGUGGAAAAAAACAUGGAAAAAUUAAGAAAUCUUGAAGAGGGGCAAAUAUGUCGUCACACCACGUGUAUGUGUGUGUGAACUGUAGUUGUGUUGAGUACACAUUGACAUGACUGCAUGUGAAGAUUCUUGAAGCCAACAGGUAUGUUUAGUAUGUAUAUGGACAGGCCCCGCCCCUUUUGACUAACAUUUAUACCAGACAGUAAUGAUGAUAAUCCUCCAGCAUCAUGCUACUUAAUGAUUAUCCCCCCCCCCCCCCCCCCCCCACACACACAUCUCUGUAGUCAUCCUCCAGAUCUCCUUUUUGUCUCUUCUGCCCUCACCCCCCGUCUCUAACAUCCCUCUCUUCCCUCCAUUUUGAAAAAAUGUUUUUUAGGAAAUUUAUCACAUGCCACUCUGAUUUGAUUUAAUUACUGAUGCAAUUUUUUCUUCAUUAUUUAGUCACACAUUUUAUCACCAUAAACUAUUGUUUUAAUGAAUGAACGAUGCACUUGACAAAUAAAGUGACAAAUAAAGUUUUACACCACACUGAGAUGUAAAAACUGAAGAAAAAAAUGGACUUUGAUGUCCAAACUGAGGCAUAUCGGACCUCAUGUGUUUUUUACUUUGUGCUUCAGUCUUAAGUAGACCAAAAAAGUCUUUUUAAGAACUCUGUCUUUCAUUUCUCCUUCUUUCUUUGAAGAAGCUUCUCCAAAAAAUAAGGCCUUUUCACUUUCAUCUCAGCCUUGGAGAAAUUCCUCUUAAAGUGUUUUUUAAAUGUUGAGUUCAUCCGUCAAACACCUGUGGAGAUUUCCAUCAAGCAUGAAAGAAAUGAACUGUGAUCCUCCAUUAGAUUGUGGUUAGUUAGGUUUUUUUUUUUUUUAUCAACUCCACAGAGAAUACCACUCACUAACAACCUACAAGCAAACUGGGUCAGCCAUAAAACAUCAGCUCAAACUGCUGUUAACUUACUUUGUCAGAAAGCUCAUUUAAAAUCCGGAGUGGAACUUUGGCAGCCCGAGUCUUCCUCCAGCAGUAAUAAAACAUAAGGAGACCUAAUGCACACACAGCCAACAGGCAGCUGGGCCUCCGCCGUCCCUGUUGCCCUCACCAGCAGAGGAGGCCAUCCAUAAUUAACCUCACUCUGUCAGGUUUAGGCAGCAACCAUAACAUGUCCUCACAAGUCAUUCGAAGCCUUUUUCUUCCCCGCCGUCAUUUUCUCCAGCGCCAACAUCUGUCGCUCCCCGUGUAAGGUUUGCUCUGGGAUGGGGUGAGGAGAAAGACAGAAAAAAAAAACACUUUGAUGUGCUGAGCUUACUUCACAUCCCUCUCUCAAAGGCUUUGGACAGCAAAAGACACACGGGCGAGAAUGUGCUUCUCAUUUGAGUUCAUUGAAGUGUAUUUAUGUCAUUUAUACGUUUUUAUUGCAGCCCAAGGGCUUUUUGGAGCGUCUCUGCCUUCAGAGUUG